GAAAUGCGAUAAGUAAUGUGAGUUGCAGAAUUCAGUGAAUCAUCGAAUCUUUGAACGCACCUUGCGCUCCUUGGUAUUCCUUGGAGCAUGCCUGUUUGAGUAUCAUGAAAUCUUCAAAGUAAAUCUUUUGUUAACUCAAUUGGUUUCUACUUUGGUAUUGGAGGUCUUUGCAGCUUCACACCUGCUCCUCUUUGUUCAUUAGCUGGAUCUCAGUGUUAUGCUUGGUUCCACUCGGCGUGAUAAGUUAUCUAUCGCUGAGGACACUGUAAAAGGUGGCCAAGGUAAAUGCAGAUGAACCGCUUCUAAUAGUCCAUUGACUUGGACAAUACUUUUAUGAUCUGAUCUCAAAUCAGGUAGGACUACCCGCUGAACUUAAGC
rnacentral:misc_RNA from 1 species